GACGAACGCUGGCGGCGUGCUUAACACAUGCAAGUCGAACGGAAAGGCCCUGCUUUUGUGGGGUGCUCGAGUGGCGAACGGGUGAGUAACACGUGAGUAACCUGCCCUUGACUUUGGGAUAACUUCAGGAAACUGGGGCUAAUACCGGCUAGGAGCUCCUGCUGCAUGGUGGGGGUUGGAAAGUUUCGGCGGUUGGGGAUGGACUCGCGGCUUAUCAGCUUGUUGGUGGGGUAGUGGCUUACCAAGGCUUUGACGGGUAGCCGGCCUGAGAGGGUGACCGGCCACAUUGGGACUGAGAUACGGCCCAGACUCCUACGGGAGGCAGCGGUGGGGAAUAGUGCACAAUGGGCGGAAGCCUGAUGCAGCAACGCCGCGUGCGGGAUGACGGCCUUCGGGUUGUAAACCGCUUUCGCCUGUGACGAAGCGUGAGUGACGGUAAUGGGUAAAGAAGCACCGGCUAACUACGUG
rnacentral:rRNA from 1 species